CUUUCUAUAUAUAUAUACUUCCUGGUUGACAACUUCUUCACAGUAUUACUUAAAGCUCAAUAUGAGAAAGACGUUUAUUUUUUGUGUAAAACAGAGGCGGAAGAUACCAAGGGAACAUUCAAAAUUCAAGAGGGACAGAAACCGGAGCAUAAAAGACAAGAGACGACAAAUAAUAUCAAUGUUUAAAAGAAAACUAAAUAUUGAGAUCAAGAGGACCGUUCACGAUCAACAUAUUACUCCAUCAUGAAAAGCGUAUCAUACGAUUUUUACAUCUUUUUGUAUGAUUCAGCAGAAGCUGGUUAAAGUCGUUUUGCAAUUAUAUCAAACAGAUUUAAAAAAUUGAAUAUUUCUUGUAAGUAUUAACACAUUUUUAGGACUGGUACUUAAUUAGAUUCCAUAUAAAAGAUAGGUUUCUUCAUACACCUAAAUUGCAGAAGUGGCCAAAAUAUGGCAUGUAAAGAUAUUCUACUCAAUUUCAAAAUGGUCGAAAAUUCUUGAAACAAAGCAUGUCAACAUUGUACAAUUCAGCGGGUGCAUUCGCAAGACUGAUGGAUAACAACUAUAGAGUCAAUAACUCAAACAACUAAGAAUGAAAAGAGGCUGUUUAAAUUAAACAAAAUUUUAUAGUUUUCAUGUAAGUAUUAAUCAUUUGACGUAAGGUAAGUAUAGACAUAACAAUUAUAAUAGUAUUUCAGACCUGAGGUAAGUUUGCUAUGAUCGCUUUCUAGUAAUAACUUGUCUGCUAGAUACCUGUAUUAUGCAAACUAAUGCUAAACAUUCAUUGUGCUGUACAUUUAGAAGUUAAUGUAACGUUUCAAUAGCGAAAAAGAAGGACAGCUCGGCCCUACUGUGAAUUUAACUUUAAAGUUUAUAGAUGUUUGAUCUCACCUUUAAUAAAAGAUAUGUCUUAGGGAGCUACCAUUUGAUUUUUAUGGGGGGGGGGGGGGGGGGGGGGGGGGUAGGAUGAAAUUUGAAAAAAUAGGCUUGACAGGAGUUUUGAGUAAUAAAAAAAAGGCAGGAUGAGACACUUUGCAAAAAAAAAAGGCAGGACCGAAUAGAGUGAAAAAUAAAAAGGCAGGACAGAAAUUAAAACUAUAAAAAAAUACAGGACAACAUUUUUCAUCCUGUCCCCCCCCCCCCCCCCCAUAAAAAUCAAAUGGCAGCUCCCUUAUGCUUACAUCGUCUUCAUUUCUUGAUGAUGUCUGCUUCAGAUUCUCAUCAAUUAGUAUUUUAAUUAAUUUCAAAGUGUACAGUACUUUUAUGUAGUGAUAGGGUAGUAUAUUUUGUGUCAUUUUGAAAACUCUAUUAACAAUUACUACAUUAUUGUGUUUGUAUUACAGUAACGUUACUAUCAAAUUGUUCAAAAAAAUAAUUCAUGUUACACAAAAUAUACUCCCUUUACACUAACUAGAUUAGACAUCUUUCCGUUUUAUAUUUGAUAAAAGUUUUUUUCUUUCCAAAGAGACAAAAAAUAUAUAUUUCUUUUCAGUAAAGGGCCUGAUUUAAUUUCGGUACAGAAGAUCAGUAAUGGUAACAUCGAAUUGCAUGUCAACAUGCGUUGACGAUACUAUAUAUGAAAAUCAACUGAGGCUAUUUUUGGAAAAAAAGCGUGAGUAGAUUUGAAUCAGAGUAAGGAACCAUAAAGGAGUUAGGUAAGUAAUUCUAUUUGACAGGUAAGUAUGGAUGCUUGGUUUUUACUUUUUUAUUUCAGAAAUUGGGUAAGUUUGUUUAAAGCGCUUUCUUGUACUAACAUUGUCUGCUUAACACUAGUAUAAUGGAAUGCAAUUUAUUAUUAUAAAGUUUAAUAUGAGUGAAGAAAUGCACAUUUAGAAAUUCUAAAAGUAAAAACGUGCAACUGACUGCGUACAGAUACUUUUUCAUUGGCGUUAUUCAGUUCUGAAUUAAAGGCAUACUUGGUAAAAAGU